rnacentral:rRNA from 1 species
UACGUAGGGGUCUAGCGUUGUCCGGAAUCAUUGGGCGUAAGGAGCUCGUAGGCGGUUCGAUUAGUCGGGUGUGAAAUCUCCACGCUCAACGUGGAGGGGCCACUCGAUACUGUCGUGACUCGAGUCCGGUAGGGGAGUUCGGAAUUCCCGGUGUAGCGGUGAAAUGCGCAGAUAUCGGGAGGAACACCAGUGGCGAAGGCGGCUCGCUGGACCGGUUCUGACG